rnacentral:rRNA from 1 species
UAACCGCAUCAGGUCUCCAAGGUUAGCAGCCUCUGGUCAAUAAAAUAAUGUAAAUAAGGGAAUUCGGCAAAUUAGAUCCGUAACUUCGGGAAAAGGAUUGGCUCUGAGGGUUGGGCGGCUGAGGCCUCUUCAUGAAAGCAGAAGUAAAAUUGAAGCUGACUUCACCGUUGGCUUCUUUUUUGUUGAAGUUAGAUUGUUGGGGUGUUUUCAUCGACUUUCUCGUCGCAUAAAACAACUGACUCAGAACUGAAGCGGACAAGGGGAAUCCGACUGUUUAAUAAAAACAUAGCUUUGUGAUGGCCUGAAAAGGUGUUGACACAAAGUGAUUUCUGCCCAGUGCUUUGAACGUGAAUAUGAAGUAAUUUGUAGAAGCUCAGGUAAACGGCGGGAGUAACUAUGACUCUCUUAAGGUAGCCAAAUGCCUCGUCAUCUAAUUAGUGACGCGCAUGAAUGGAUCAAUGAGAUUCCCACUGUCCCUAUUUACUAUUUAGCGAACCCACAGUCAAGGGAACGGGC